rfam:Ciona savignyi cont_29452, whole genome shotgun sequence.
UUCGUCGUGGCCGAGUGGUUAAGGCGACAGACUAGAAAUCUGUUGGGCUCUGCCCGCACAGGUUCGAAUCCUGUCGGCGACG